UACGAAGGGGGCGAGCGUUGUUCGGAAUUACUGGGCGUAAAGGGCGCGCAGGCGGCUAUCCAAGUCAGUGGUGAAAGCCCGGAGCUCAACUCCGGAACUGCCAUUGAAACUGUUUAGCUUGAGGAUGAGAGAGGUGAGUGGAAUUCCCAGUGUAGAGGUGAAAUUCGUAGAUAUUGGGAAGAACACCGGUGGCGAAGGCGGCUCACUGGCUCAUUACUGACGCUCAGGCGCGAUAGCGUGGGGAUCAAACAGG
rnacentral:rRNA from 1 species